rnacentral:rRNA from 1 species
GUUGAACGCUGGCGGCAUGCCUUACACAUGCAAGUCGAACGGCAGCACGGGGGCAACCCUGGUGGCGAGUGGCGAACGGGUGAGUAAUGCAUCGGAACGUGCCCCGUAGCGGGGGAUAACCAGUCGAAAGACUGGCUAAUACCGCAUACGCUCCACGGAGGGAAAGCGAGGGGAUCGCAAGACCUUGCACUAUGGGAGCGGCCGAUGCCCGAUUAGCUAGUUGGUGAGGAAAGGCUCACC